CAGAGGUCCCGAGCGUUGUUCGGAUUUAUUGGGCGUAAGGGGUGCGUAGGCGGCGGAGUAAGUUGGGUGUGAAAUCCCGGGGCUCAACCUCGGAAUUGCAUUCAAUACUGCUUCGCUCGAGUACUGGAGAGGAGGCUGGAAUUUACGGUGUAGCAGUGAAAUGCGUAGAUAUCGUAAGGAAGGCCGGUGGCGAAAGCGAGCCUCUGGACAGUUACUGACGCUGAUGCACGAAGGCCAGGGGAGCAAACGGGAUUAGAUACCCCGGUAGUCCUGGCAGUAAACGGUGCGCGUUUGGUGUGGGGGGAUUCGACAAUCUCCGCGCCGGAGCUAACGCGUUAAACGCGCCGCCUGGGAAAUACGGUCGCAAGAUUA
rnacentral:rRNA from 1 species